rnacentral:rRNA from 1 species
CCCUUAGAUGUUCUGGGCCGCACGCGCGCUACACUGAUGCAUUCAACGAGUCUAAAACCUGCUCUGAUAGGGAUGGGUAAUCUUUUGAAUGUGCAUCGUGAUUGGGAUAGAUGAUUGCAAUUUUUCAUCUUCAACGAGGAAUGCCUAGUAAACGCAAGUCAUCAGCUUGCAUUGAUUACGUCCCUGCCCUUUGUACACACCGCCCGUCGCUCCUACCGAUUGAAUGAUCCGAUGAAUAUCAUGGAUUGAGGAUUAUAGCAGGUUCGCCUGUCUUGAUCUUCGAGAAGUGAAGUAAAUCUUAUCAUUUAGAGGAAGGAGAAGUCGUAACA